ACGAAGUCGCAAGACUUAGUGGCGGAAGGGUUAGUAAUACAUGGGUAACCUGCCGUCUACCUCGGAAUAACAGUUGGAAACGACUGCUAAUACCGGAUGAGGUGGUCAUAAGGAAACUUAAGACCAUCAAAGUGGGGGAUCUUCGGACCUUGCGGUAGAUGAGGGGCCCAUGGGAUAUCAGCUAGUUGGUGAGGUAAUGGCUCACCAAGGCUAAGACGUCUAGGCGGAUUGAGAGAUUGA
rnacentral:rRNA from 1 species